rnacentral:rRNA from 1 species
GAUGAACGCUAGCGGCAGGCCUAACACAUGCAAGUCGAGGGGUAGCAGGAUUAAGCUUGCUUAAUUGCUGACGACCGGCGCACGGGUGCGUAACGCGUAUGCAACCUACCUUAUACUGGGGUAUAGCCCGGAGAAAUUCGGAUUAAUCCCCCAUAGUACUAAUGAAUCGCAUGGUUUAUUAGUUAAAGCAUUGCGGAAUAAGAUGGGCAUGCGUCCUAUUAGCUAUAUGGUGAGGUAACGGCUCACCAUGGCUACGAUAGGUAGGGGGCCUGAGAGGGUGGUCCCCCACACUGGUACUGAGACACGGACCAGACUCCUACGGGAGGCAGCAGUGAGGAAUAUUGGUCAAUGGGCGCAAGCCUGAACCAGCCAUGCCGCGUGCAGGAAGAAUGCCCUAUGGGUUGUAAACUGCUUUUAUUUGGGAAUAAACCUCUUUACGUGUAGAGAGCUGAAGGUACCAAAUGAAUAAGCACCGGCUAACUCCGUGCCAGCAGCCGCGGUAA